rnacentral:rRNA from 1 species
ACGAACGCUGGCGGCGUGCCUAAUACAUGCAAGUAGAACGCUGAAGAGAGGAGCUUGCUCUUCUUGGAUGAGUUGCGAACGGGUGAGUAAAGCGUAGGUAACCUGCCUGGUAGCGGGGGAUAACUAUUGGAAACGAUAGCUAAUACCGCAUAAAAUGGAUUAUCGCAUGAUAAUCCAUUGAAAGGUGCAAAUGCAUCACUACCAGAUGGACCUGCGUUGUAUUAGCUAGUUGGUGGGGUAACGGCUCACCAAGGCGACGAUACAUAGCCGACCUGAGAGGGUGAUCGGCCACACUGGGACUGAGACACGGCCCAGACUCCUACGGGAGGCAGCAGUAGGGAAUCUUCGGCAAGGGACGGAAGUCUGACCGAGCAACGCCGCGUGAGUGAAGAAGGUUUUCGGAUCGUAAAGCUCUGUUGUAAGAGAAGAACGAGUGUGAGAGUGGAAAGUUCACACUGUGACGGUAUCUUACCAGAAAGGGACGGCUAACUACGUG